rnacentral:rRNA from 1 species
GAUGAACGCUGGCGGCGUGCUUAACACAUGCAAGUCGAGCGAUGAAGUUUCCUUCGGGAAACGGAUUAGCGGCGGACGGGUGAGUAACACGUGGGUAACCUGCCCCAUAGAGUGGAAUAGCCUUCCGAAAGGAAGAUUAAUACCGCAUAACGUUGAAAGAUGGCAUCAUCAUUCAACCAAAGGAGUAAUCCGCUAUGAGAUGGACCCGCGGCGCAUUAGCUAGUUGGUGGGGUAACGGCCUACCAAGGCGACGAUGCGUAGCCGACCUGAGAGGGUGAUCGGCCACAUUGGGACUGAGACACGGCCCAGACUCCUACGGGAGGCAGCAGUGGGGAAUAUUGCACAAUGGGGGGAACCCUGAUGCAGCAACGCCGCGUGAGUGAUGAAGGUUUUCGGAUCGUAAAGCUCUGUCUUUGGGGAAGAUAAUGACGGUACCCAAGGAGGAAGCCACGGCUAACUACGUGCCAGCCGCCGCCGUAACAC